AGUGAACGCUGGCGGUAGGCCUAACACAUGCAAGUCGAACGGCAGCACAGUAAGAGCUUGCUCUUACGGGUGGCGAGUGGCGGACGGGUGAGGAAUACAUCGGAAUCUACUUUUUCGUGGGGGAUAACGUAGGGAAACUUACGCUAAUACCGCAUCCGACCUACGGGUGAAAGCAGGGGAUCUUCGGACCUUGCGCGAUUGAACGAGCCGAUGUCGGAUUAGCUAGUUGGCGGGGUAAAGGCCCACCAAGGCGACGAUCCGUAGCUGGUCUGAGAGGAUGAUCAGCCACACUGGAACUGAGACACGGUCCAGACUCCUACGGGAGGCAGCAGUGGGGAAUAUUGGACAAUGGGCGCAAGCCUGAUCCAGCCAUACCGCGUGGGUGAAGAAGGCCUUCGGGUUGUAAAGCCCUUUUGUUGGGAAAGAAAAGCAGCAGGUUAAUACCCCGCUGUUCUGACGGUACCCAAAGAAUAAGCACCGGCUAACUUCGUG
rnacentral:rRNA from 1 species